UAGGCAGAAGCUCGUUGGUUUGAGCAUAUAGCUGUUAACUGUAGUAUCGCGGGAUCGAAGCCCGUCUGUCUAG
rnacentral:tRNA from 1 species